rnacentral:rRNA from 1 species
UACGGGGGGAGCAAGCGUUGUUCGGAUUUACUGGGCGUAAAGGGCGCGUAGGCGGUCAGCACAAGUCAGUUGUGAAAUCUCCGAGCUUAACUCGGAAAGGUCAACUGAUACUGUGCGACUAGAGUGCAGAAGGGGCAACUGGAAUUCUUGGUGUAGCGGUGAAAUGCGUAGAUAUCAAGAGGAACACCUGCGGCGAAGGCGGGUUGCUGGGCCGACACUGACGCUGAUGCGCGAAAGCCAGGGGAGCGAACGGG